CCUGAUGCAGCCAUGCCGCGUGUGUGAAGAAGGCCUUCGGGUUGUAAAGCACUUUCAGUAGGGAGGAAAGGGUGAGUCUUAAUACGGCUCAUCUGUGACCUUACCUACAGAAGAAGGACCGGCUAACUCCGUGCCAGCAGCCGCGGUAAUACGGAGGGUCCGAGCGUUAAUCGGAAUUACUGGGCGUAAAGCGUGCGCAGGCGGUUUGUUAAGCGAGAUGUGAAAGCCCUGGGCUCAACCUAGGAAUAGCAUUUCGAACUGGCGAACUAGAGUCUUGGGAGGGGGGUAGAAUUCCAGGGUAGCGGUGAAAUGCGUAGAGAUCUGGAGGAAUACCGGUGGCGAAGGCGGCCCCCUGGACAAAGACUGACGCUCAUGCACGAAAGCGUGGGGAGCAAACAGGAUUAGAUACCCUGGUAGUCCACGCCGUAAACGAUGUCUACUCGGAGUUUGGUGUCUUGAACACUGGGCUCUCAAGCUAACGCAUUAAGUAGACCGCCUGGGGAGUACGGCCGCAAGGUUAAAACUCAAAGGAAUUGACGG
rnacentral:rRNA from 1 species